rnacentral:misc_RNA from 1 species
GUGAGUCAUCGAAUCUUUGAACGCAAAUUGCACUUUCUGGUAUUCCGGAAAGUAUGCCUGUUUGAGGGUCAGUUAAAUAAAAAUCGGUGUUGUUGCUACCCGUAGUGGUGUUAAUGCAUCGGAGUUGAGUUGUCUUUACCUUUUUUGGUUAAAGUGACUUAAAAUUAUGUACGAUCUUUGAACGUAUUUAAAUUAUUUAUGUACGUUUAUAAUAUCAAAUAUUAGGUGCGGUCAUCCUCAUGAUUCACAUCUAUAAUUUUCAUUAUUUGACCUCAAAUCAGGUAAGAAUACCCGCUGAAC